GCUGGCGUCGAGGCCUGUGGUGGGUUCGUCCAGGAAGAGGACGGGCGGGUCGAUGAUCAGCUCCAUGCCGAUGUUCGUCCUCUUCCUCUCGCCGCCGGAGAUCCCACGAAUCAGCUGAGUGCCCACCUGAACACGCACACAGUCGGCCACUCGGCUCAGCCCCAGCUCCUGGAUCAGCCUGUUGACCUUCUGCUCCUUCUCCUCCUGAGAGAUGGUUGAUGGGAGACGCAGCGCCGCAGAGAAGCUGAAGUUUUCUCUGACCGUCAGAGUUCCCAUCACCACGUCGUCCUGUGGACAACAAACCAACAGAUGGAAAGUACUGAGGCUCUUCCUGCCUUGGCCAGGAAACCCUCCUGAAUCAAAGCUGGCUGCUGUGGGUCAGGCUUCCUGCCUGUCUCACCCACCUGCACCACGUAUCCAGACAGACACUUAAAGUUUGGAGGCUGCGGAGCUCCGUCGAUCAGGACUUCUCCUGUGAGACCGGCGGGAUCCUUCCUGGCUGCCAGAACAUCCAGGAACCUGAACGAAAAACACCAUCAACGGUUUCCUUUAUUCGCUUUUUCUUCUGCAGAUUCUCUGGAGCUUGUGUUAAAAUUCGGAUGGAAACCUGACGAGUGUUUGAACAGCUGACUUUUUCAGUCAGAUCUGAAACACUCACGAUGAUUUGCCGCUUCCUGUCGCUCCCAUGAUGGCGUUGAGCCCUGGCUUCAUGAUCCCACUGAAAGAGAGAGAAACAAGAAACCAUACAAUGUUCAUAUAAAUUAUAUUUUUGUUAUUAUAUCAUUUAUACAACACGUGCUAACAGGACAGAGUCUUUGAAUUCAGUGCUGAAAGGAGAAUAAACCAGUUCUUCCACUGUGCACAUAUGUAAUAUAUAUAUUAUAAGGAGCCAUAGCAAAAACUGUAAUGUGCAUGUGUGUCAUGUCCUUAGUUCCUUAGUGUUUACAUGUUUACAGUAAACACUUUCUCACUGAGACUCUGAUGACACUCUGUCUGUACGGUAAACCCGUUAGCUUAGCUUAGCAUAACCCAAAGGUGAACACCACAACUUGUUGUUUUUUUACAUUGUUUUUGUUGUAAAUAACAAACAAAACAUAAAGUGUUAUUUGAUGAGACUUUUUUUAACCUUGGACAGAGCCAGGCUAACAGUUCCCCUCUGUUUCCAGUCUUUGUGCUAAGCUAAGCUAACCGCCUACAGAUUCCCAUGAGUAACCGUCUCUGCACGAGGGCAGUCCUUCUCUGAUCAUCUCUGUUGGACUGUUUUAAAAUGAUGCAGCGGUUUCAGUUCUGUUUCUGGGAGGUGACUGUGGGUGAACUCUGCGAUCACACGCGGUGUGUUGUCGUAUUUUCAGGAACUGAGAGGUUUAUGAGAAGGAAUUGGCAGUUUGGGUUUGAAGCUGUUUCGCAAAAGUUUGAUUCAUUUUUUUGGGUCUUUUUUUUUUGCUGAUUCUG